rnacentral:rRNA from 1 species
CCUACGGGAGGCAGCAGUGGGGAAUCUUGCGCAAUGGGCGAAAGCCUGACGCAGCAACGCCGCGUGCGGGAAGAAGGCUUUCGGGCUGUAAACCGCUUUCAGCAGGAACGAAAAUGACGGUACCUGCAGAAGAAGGAGCGGCCAACUAUGUGCCAGCAGCCGCGGUGAUACAUAGGCUUCAAGCGUUGUCCGGAUUUAUUGGGCGUAAAGAGUUCGUAGGCGGUCGAGUAAGUCGGGUGUGAAAAUUCUGGGCUCAACCCAGAGACGCCACCCGAUACUGCUUGACUUGAGUUCGAUAGGGGAGUGGGGAAUUCCUAGUGUAGCGGUGAAAUGCGCAGAUAUUAGGAGGAACACCGGUGGCGAAGGCGCCACUCUGGAUCGAUACUGACGCUGAGGAACGAAAGCAUGGGUAGCAAACAGGAUUAGAUACCCUGGUAGUCCAUGCCGUAAACGGUGGGCACUAGGUGUGGGUUUCUAUUAACGAAAUCCGCGUCGUCGCUAACGCAUUAAGUGCCCCGCCUGGGGAGUACGGUGCAAGCUAAAACUCAAAGGAAUUGACGG